rnacentral:rRNA from 1 species
UACGUAGGGUGCGAGCGUUAAUCGGAAUUAUUGGGCGUAAAGGGCGUGUAGGCGGUUUGUUAAGUCAUGUGUGAAAUCCCUCGGCUCAACCGGGGAACGACGCAUGAAACUGGCAAGCUAGAGUACCAAAGAGGGGGGUGGAAUUCCCGGUGUAGCGGUGAAAUGCGCAGAUAUCAGGAGGAACACCGGUGGCGAAGGCGGGUCUCUGGGCAACAACUGACGCUGAGGAGCGAAAGCGUGGGGAGCGAACAGG